rnacentral:rRNA from 1 species
AACGAACGCUGGCGGCAUGCCUCAUACAUGCAAGUCGAACGAGUAUGGCCUAGUUUACUAGGACCCAGCUAGUGGCAAACGGGUGCGUAACACGUGGGAAUCUACCCUUUAGUAAGGAGUAGCCCCGGGAAACUGGGAUUAAUACCUUAUACGCUCUACGGAGGAAAGAUUUAUCGCUAAAGGAUGAGCCCGCGUUAGAUUAGCUUGUUGGUAAGGUAAUGGCUUACCAAGGCUACGAUCUAUAGCUGGUCUGAGAGGAUGAUCAGCCACACUGGAACUGAGACACGGUCCAG